rnacentral:rRNA from 1 species
UACGUAGGGUGCAAGCGUUGUCCGGAAUUAUUGGGCGUAAAGAGCUCGUAGGCGGUUUGUUGCGUCGGCUGUGAAAUCCCGAGGCUCAACCUCGGGUCUGCAGUCGAUACGAGCAAACUAGAGUGUUGCAGGGGAGACUGGAAUUCCUGGUGUAGCGGUGAAAUGCGCAGAUAUCAGGAGGAACACCGAUGGCGAAGGCAGCCCCCUGGGCUGAGAUUGACGCUCAGGCACGAAAGCGUGGGGAGCAAACAGG